rnacentral:rRNA from 1 species
UCUAGCUGCGGGCCAGAGGUCGAGGUAAACGGAGGGGUGCAAACGGUGCUCGGAAGUUGUGGGUGUAAAGCGCACGGAGGCGGCUUAGCAAGUCCCAUGUUAAAGCCCACGGCUUAACCGUGGAAGUGGAUGGGAAACUGCUGAGCUUGAGUUCUUAAGAGGAUCGCGGAAUUCCCGGUGUAGAGGUGAAAUUCGUAGAUAUCGGGAGGAACACCAGUGGCGAAGGCGGCGAUCUGGGAAGAUACUGACGCUGAGGUGCGAAAGCGUGGGGAGCAAACAGGAUUAGAUACCCGUGUAGUC